rnacentral:misc_RNA from 1 species
AGCAGCCGCGGUAAUUCCAGCUCCAAUAGCGUAUAUUAAAGUUGCUGCAGUUAAAAAGCUCGUAGUUGAAUUUCGGGAUCAAUAUGUUGGUCGUGCCUCGGUACGUACUAGCUUAUUGGUUUCUUCCUUCUGACGAACCAUAAUGUCAUUUAUUUGGUGUUAUGGGGAAUCAGGACUGUUACUUUGAAAAAUUAGAGUGUUUAAAGCAGGCUCACGCUUGAAUACAUUAGCAUGGAAUAAUGAAAUAGGACGUUUGAUUCUAUUUUGUUGGUUUCUAGGAUCGACGUAAUGAUUAAUAGGGAUAGUUGGGGGCAUUAGUAUUCAAUUGUCAGAGGUGAAAUUCUUGGAUUUAUUGAAGACUAACUACUGCGAAAGCAUUUGCCAAGGAUGUUUUCAUUAAUCAAGAACGAAAGUUAGGGGAUCGAAGACGAUCAGAUACCGUCGUAGUCUCAACCAUAAACUAUGCCGACUAGGGAUCGGAUGAUGUUAAUU